rnacentral:piRNA from 1 species
UAACGUGAUUAGAAGUUACAGUUGGUCCUA